ensembl:lncRNA
AGUUUCAAAAGUGACGUGGCAUUCUUGGUUUGUUCUCUUGUUAUUUUACUAAAAAGACAAUGAGGAUAUCAAAGAACGACUUGAGGAGUCGACCUGAAGGCCUCUCCAUACUCGAGAAUGAUUUCAUGCGACGUGGACCAGGAUCAGUCAUGUCGAAUACUAUGCACAUGACCUGACCUGUAUACUGCUGCCUUUAUUGAACUUGAAACCUCAUCACCUGGACUGGAUCCAGCUACAAAAAACUCAGAGGUGGAAUUCUGUGUGUUUGUUAUGGAUCUGUUGUUUUCAGGUUUUGAGUUGGUCUUCAUCAUCAUUGCUUUCACUAUUAUGUGCUUAUUUGGCCUGGCUGCUGUCUACACACACAAUAGAGAUCAUCAAGAUGACUUAAUUCAGACAGAAGAGAAGAUAAUGCAACAAAAGAGUAACUCAAAGAAAAAACAGCGAGGUGUCCCCAAAACCAACCAAGAGCUACCAUGAACACACGAACAAACAGAUUUCAUAUAAAUACAGAAUCCUUCUGUUGGUGCUCGUUGAAUUAAAAGGCAUGGCGCACCAAAUGCAGCUAAUCAGUGUGUGAAGGUCUCUGACACUGAAAAUGGACUUGCUGUCGAGCUCAUCUUUUAGUUGACCCUGAAGACCAGCUGUCUCCGAUUGGCUUGAAUGCAUGGCCCCAAUUAUUAACCAGUGAAGAAAGGCAAAGAGGAUUUAUUGAAAUUUAAACCCCUCCCCUUUCCCCACAUAAAUCUACUUAUCAUUUGUUAUUAUAAUGAUUUAAAGCCUGUAGCAUUUUUUCACACAGCUUAUGCUUUGGUGGAUAAACUGCGUCUAAAGUUUCUGGGUGGUGGUGGCCUUUGAUAAUAAAAAUAGGAAAAUAUAUUGCUGAAUGUAUAUU